rnacentral:tRNA from 1 species
GGAGAAUUAGCUUAAUUGGUAAAGCCAGGGCACCGAAUUAAAAUUGACCGCCUCAAAGACAUUGCCCAGGAUGUAGGUUCGAAUCCUACAUUCUCCA